rnacentral:rRNA from 1 species
GUAGGAUAGUGGCCUACCAUGGUGGCAACGGGUAACGGGGAAUUAGGGUUCGAUUCCGGAGAGGGAGCCUGAGAAACGGCUACCACAUCCAAGGAAGGCAGCAGGCGCGCAAAUUACCCAAUCCCGACACGGGGAGGUAGUGACAAUAAAUACUGAUACGGGGCUCUUUUGGGUCUCGUAAUUGGAAUGAGUACAAUCUAAAUCCCUUAACGAGGAACAAUUGGAGGGCAAGUCUGGUGCCAGCAGCCGCGGUAAUUCCAGCUCCAAUAGCGUAUAUUAAAGUUGUUGCAGUUAAAAAGCUCGUAGUUGAACCUUGGGUCUGGCUGGCCGGUCCGCCUCACCGCGAGUACUGGUCCGGCUGGACCUUUCCUUCUGGGGAACCUCAUGGCCUUCACUGGCUGUGGGGGGAACCAGGACUUUUACUGUGAAAAAAUUAGAGUGUUCAAAGCAGGCCUUUGCUCGAAUACAUUAGCAUGGAAUAAUAGAAUAGGACGUGCGGUUCUAUUUUGUUGGUUUCUAGGACCGCCGUAAUGAUUAAUAGGGAUAGUCGGGGGCGUCAGUAUUCAGCUGUCAGAGGUGAAAUUCUUGGAUUUGCUGAAGACUAACUACUGCGAAAGCAUUCGCCAAGGAUGUUUUCAUUAAUCAGGGAACGAAAGUUAGGGGAUCGAAGACGAUCAGAUACCGUCGUAGUCUUAACCAUAAACUAUGCCGACUAGG